UACGUAGGGUGCAAGCGUUAAUCGGAAUUACUGGGCGUAAAGCGUGCGCAGGCGGUUAUGUAAGACAGAUGUGAAAUCCCCCGGGCUCAACCUGGGAACUGCAUUUGUGACUGCAUAGCUAGAGUACGGUAGAGGGGGAUGGAAUUCCGCGUGUAGCAGUGAAAUGCGUAGAUAUGCGGAGGAACACCGAUGGCGAAGGCAAUCCCCUGGACCUGUACUGACGCUCAUGCACGAAAGCGUGGGGAGCAAACGAGG
rnacentral:rRNA from 1 species